rnacentral:rRNA from 1 species
AUUGAACGCUGGCGGCAGGCCUAACACAUGCAAGUCGAACGAGCGGCGGACGGGUGAGUAAUGUAUGGGGACCUGCCUGAUAGAGGGGGAUAACUACUGGAAACGGUGGCUAAUACCGCAUACUAUCGGAUGUACCCAUAUGGGAUUAGCUAGUAGGUGGGGUAACGGCUCACCUAGGCGACGAUCCCUAGCUGGUCUGAGAGGAUGAUCAGCCACACUGGGACGGAGACACGGCCCAGACUCCUACGGGAGGCAGCAGUGGGGAAUAUUGCACAAUGGGCGCAAGCCUGAUGCAGCCAUGCCGCGUGUAUGAAGAAGGCCUUCGGGUUGUAAAGUACUUUCAGCGGGGAGGCGUUACUCGAAGAAGAAGCACCGGCUAACUCCGUGCCAGCAGCCGCGGUAAUAC